GUAGGGAAUAUUGGGCAAUGGUCGGAAGACUGACCCAGCCAUGCCGCGUGCAGGAAGACGGCCCUCUGGGUUGUAAACUGCUUUUAUCUGGGAAGAAAAAGGCCAUGCGUGGCAAAUUGCCGGUACCAGAUGAAUAAGCACCGGCUAACUCCGUGCCAGCAGCCGCGGUAAUACGGAGGGUGCGAGCGUUGUCCGGAUUUAUUGGGUUUAAAGGGUGCGUAGGCGGCUGAUUAAGUCAGCGGUGAAAGACUUCGGCUUAACCGGAGCAGUGCCGUUGAUACUGGUUGGCUUGAGUGUCGGAGGGGUACAUGGAAUUGAUGGUAUAGCGGUGAAAUGCAUAGAUACCAUCAGGAACACCGAUAGCGAAGGCAUUGUACUGGCCGACAACUGACGCUGAUGCACGAAAGUGUGGGGAUCGAACAGGAUUAGAAACCCGUGUAGUCC
rnacentral:rRNA from 1 species